GCCGAAGUGGUGGAAUGGCAGACGCGACGGACUCAAAAUCCGUUACUAGCAAUAGUGUGCGGGUUCAAGUCCCGCCUUCGGCACCA
rnacentral:tRNA from 1 species